rnacentral:rRNA from 1 species
GACGAACGCUGGCGGCGUGCCUAAUACAUGCAAGUUGAGCGCUGAAGGUUGGUACUUGUACCAACUGGAUGAGCAGCGAACGGGUGAGUAACGCGUGGGGAAUCUGCCUUUGAGCGGGGGACAACAUUUGGAAACGAAUGCUAAUACCGCAUAAAAACUUUAAACACAAGUUUUAAGUUUGAAAGAUGCAAUUGCAUCACUCAAAGAUGAUCCCGCGUUGUAUUAGCUAGUUGGUGAGGUAAAGGCUCACCAAGGCGAUGAUACAUAGCCGACCUGAGAGGGUGAUCGGCCAAAUUGGGACUGAGAAACGGCCCAAACUCCUACGGGAGGCAGCAGUAGGGAAUCUUCGGCAAUGGACGAAAGUCUGACCGAGCAACGCCGCGUGAGUGAAGAAGGUUUUCGGAUCGUAAAACUCUGUUGGUAGAGAAGAACGUUGGUGAGAGUGGAAAGCUCAUCAAGUGACGGUAACUACCCAGAAAGGGACGGCUAACUACGUG